AUUCAGGAUCAUCAAAAUAUUUUUAUUAUUUUUAAAUAUGCAAUCAUGUAGGGGAGAAGUGGGAGCAUGAGGAUAACAAACAAAAAAAAAAAAGUGAAAACAAAAAUAUCUGAGGAAAACUAAAUGCAUAAAUUACUUCAAGUGAGGUUAAUAAGAAAACAUUGCAGGCUCAACUGGUCACACUCCACAUGGGAUUGAAUGCUGGCCAUCAGUGUGAGAGAGAGAGAACUGUGUAGAAAUAGGUGUGUCACUUAGCCCUGUAGUCACACAAAGUAAAAGAAAGAGGUGUUAUUUACAAUUGGUGCAUAUAGAUAGGGACAAAUUACAAGUUAUCUGAAGAUGUGCUCUACAGACACACAACAUCCUGGCAUGAGAGGUCUGAUCCCAUUUUCACUCAUAACAAAAGUAAUAGAGCAGUGGGGGGGAAAGUGACAUUUAGUCAUUUUGAGAUUAUAGCUUUUUAUUUUUCACUUGCUCAAUUCAACUAAACAAAAUAUUUCGUUUACACGAUUCUGUAUAAACAAAAAAACAGGAUGUGGGUUAGAGAAGAACGAGAUAUUUGUUGAUCUCACUGGACUACAAACUUCAACUUUAAGGGCAGACAUAACCAGCACAUUCUGUAGUCUACACUACACAUUCUCAAAGUGAUAAGUAAAUUUUAGAAAUUCUUGUACAAAUAAAAAGUGUGAACAAUUAGAGACAUUUGAUUGCUUACAAUGCUGUCCAUAUUGCUACUUGUUUUGGCAAUUCACUUGAGCUCCUAUCAAUUCUAAAUUCAUAAUUGCACACACAUGUAAGUAGUUUAGCAGAAAAUGUAGCGCUACUCAAAAUAGAGACUUCUAAAAAUGUAAAGAAAAUACUAUGAGAACUAUUUUAAAUGUCUACAUAUGAAAGGGAUGAAGUAUGUCUUAAAAAAAGAAAAAGGAACAUGAGAAACAAUCUGAAGAAAACAUUUCAAUGAAAACAUUUGGUAAAAUAAAGGAAAUAAAUUUAACAUGAAUGAACUGACCAUUUUUUUGGUAAAAAUUUUCAGAAAACAAAAAAAAAAUUGGUAAUCAAACUUUAGAAAAUAACAGAUAGAAACCUGCUGUUAGAUGUAUAAUGUGCAGAUUUCUAUAAGUCUUCACAGCCAGAGAAAAAAAACAACUUUCCUAUAUUUACAUGGCAUAAUUUGUAUGCCCAAACAUACUUGCAUAUAUACACUAGUCCAGCAAGCUGUGCUUACACCACAACAAGUCAAUAGUGAAACCCAGAAGGAAACAGAAAACAAUAUCAACAUUGAAAGUCAACUCUAAAGUAAUCAGUAAAGUAGUCAGUAAUCAAAUCACACACAUCAUCAAGGGCAUCAAAUCAAUUGAGGAUGAAGUCCAUAGAUAUUAUUUAAUGCAAUACAAUCUACAAUUUAAACCAAAAAAAAAAUAGUUAUAAGAAUUGUGUUCUACAAUGUUGAUAAAGAAAUCAAUUUCUUAUGUUACUGACUUGAUACAUGCAACUAGUUUCAACAAUAUGUCUCCUUCAAGCAAGUCAACACAAAUUAAAAAAAAAUAUUGAAGAUUUUUAAACUAUGAAAAUACAUAACCAUUUUUGUACAUAUCACAGUUCACCAGUAUGUAGUAUGUAUAUAUGUACUUAACAGUACACAUCUUAUGAAGUAUGGAGUCUAAUUAAUUAUAUGGUUAUUUCUAUGAAGUCAUACAAUGCCACCCCAACCCCCCCCAACCCCCCUUUCCCAAUUUAAGGAAACUUUCCAGACUCUGCCAAAAUGCUAACUAGUUUGAAAGUUGACAGUAAACUGAUUUAAACCCUAAAAGUAAGCAAGAAAUGAAAGAAAACUAUUUUUGGAACUAUGGGCAAGGGUUAGACUUUAAAUGUCCCAUACUUUUAUUGAUGGUCUUGAAUGAUGACAUUUUACAUAGUAGUCAGCAGUGACAAGAAGAUACACUUUUUGAAAACAAUAAGUUUGUCAUUACAUAGCAAGAUACUAGAAACAAGUGAAUGAUGGACAGACAAGUGAAUGAUGGACAGACAAGUGAAUGAUGGACAGAGAA